GGAUAACAGGUUGAUAUUCCUGUACCACCUAUAAUCGUUUUAAUCGAUGGGGGGACGCAGUAGGAUAGGCGAAGCGUGCGAUUGGAUUGCACGUCUAAGCAGUAAGGCUGAGUAUUAGGCAAAUCCGGUACUCGUUAAGGCUGAGCUGUGAUGGGGAGAAGACAUUGUGUCUUCGAGUCGUUGAUUUCACACUGCCGAGAAAAGCCUCUAGAUAGAAAAUAGGUGCCCGUACCGCAAACCGACACAGGUAGUCAAGAUGAGAAUUCUAAGGUGAGCGAGCGAACUCUCGUUAAGGAACUCGGCAAAAUGACCCCGUAACUUCGGGAGAAGGGGUGCUCUUUAGGGUUAACGCCCAGAAGAGCCGCAGUGAAUAGGCCCAAGCGACUGUUUAUCAAAAACACAGGUCUCUGCUAAACCGUAAGGUGAUGUAUAGGGGCUGACGCCUGCCCGGUGCUGGAAGGUUAAGAGGAGUGGUUAGCUUCUGCGAAGCUACGAAUCGAAGCCCCAGUAAACGGCGGCCGUAACUAUAACGGUCCUAAGGUAGCGAAAUUCCUUGUCGGGUAAGUUCCGACCCGCACGAAAGGCGUAACGAUUUGGGCACUGUCUCAACGAGAGACUCGGUGAAAUCAUAGUACCUGUGAAGAUGCAGGUUACCCGCGACAGGACGGAAAGACCCCGUGGAGCUUUACUGUAGCCUGAUAUUGAAAUUCGGCACAGCUUGUACAGGAUAGGUAGGAGCCUUUGAAACGUGAGCGCUAGCUUACGUGG
rnacentral:rRNA from 1 species